GACGAACGCUGGCGGCGUGCUUAACACAUGCAAGUCGAACGGAAAGGCCCUGCUUUUGUGGGGUGCUCGAGUGGCGAACGGGUGAGUAACACGUGAGUAACCUGCCCUUGACUUUGGGAUAACUUCAGGAAACUGGGGCUAAUACCGGAUAGGAGCUCCUGCUGCAUGGUGGGGGUUGGAAAGUUUCGGCGGUUGGGGAUGGACUCGCGGCUUAUCCGCUUGUUGGUGGGGUAGUGGCUUACCAAGGCUUUGACGGGUAGCCGGCCUGAGAGGGUGACCGGCCACAUUGGGACUGAGAUAGGGCCCAGACUCCUACGGGAGGCAGAAGUGGGGAAUAUUGCACAAUGGGCGGAAGCCUGAGGCAGCAACGCCGCGUGCGGGAUGACGGCCUUCGGGUUGUAAACCGCUUUCGCCUGUGACGAAGCGUGAGUGACGGUAAUGGGUAAAGAAGCACCGGCUAACUACGUG
rnacentral:rRNA from 1 species